UGGGGAAUAUUGGACAAUGGGCGCAAGCCUGAUCCAGCCAUGCCGCGUGAGUGAUGAAGGCCUUAGGGUUGUAAAGCUCUUUCGCCGGUGAAGAUAAUGACGGUAACCGGAGAAGAAGCCCCGGCUAACUUCGUGCC
rnacentral:rRNA from 1 species